rnacentral:lncRNA from 1 species
AUGGGAACUCCUGUGGACUUAUUAAUGAUGGCCAUUCUGAUUUGCGUGAGGUGGUACCUCAUGGUAGUUUUGAUUUGCCUUUCUCCAAUAAUCAGUAAUGUUGAGAAUUUUUUCAUGUGCUUGUUGUCCAUCUGUAUAUCUUCUUUGGAGAAAUAUCCAAAGAUGUUUCAAUUGGGUUGUUGGCUUUUUUGCUGUUGAGCUGUAUAAGUUGUUUGUAUAUUUUAGAGAUUAAGCCCUUGUCUGUUGCAUUAUUUGAAACUAUUUUCUCCCAUUCUGUAAGUUGUGUUUUUGUUUGUAGAUUGCUUUGGGUAGUAUGGCCAUUUUUACAAUAUUAAUUUUUCCAACCCAGGAGCAUGGACUAUCUUUCCAUUUCUUUGCAUCCUCUUUAAUUUCCUUGACUAAUGUUUUAUAAUUCUCAGCAUAUAAGUCUUUCACCUCCUUGGUCAGAUGUAGUCCCAGGUAUUUGAUUUUUUGGGGGUGCAGUUUUAAACGGUAUUGUAUUUUUUAUUCCUUUUCUAAUAUUUCAUUGUUAGUAUACAGAAAUGCUACUGAUUUCUGAAUGUUAAUCUUAUAACCUGCUACUUUGCUGAAUUUGUUCAGUUCAAGUAGUUUUGGGGUUGAGUCCUUAGGGUUUUCUAUAUACAGUAUCAUGUCAUCUGCAUACAGUGACAAUUUUACCUCUUCUCUUCCAAUUUGGAUACCUUUUAUUUCUUUUGUUUGUCUAAUUGCUGUGGCUAGAACUUCCAAUACUAUGUUGAAUAACAGCAGUGAGAGUGGACAUCCUUGUCUUGUUCCAGAUUUUAGUGGGAAGGAUUUCAGCUUUUCUCCAUUCAGUUUUUCUCCACAGUAUUAUAUUUGCUGUGUGUUUGUCAUAAAUGGAUUUGAUUAUGUUCAGGAAUGUUCCCUCUAUACCCACUUUGAAAAGAGUUUUUAUCAUGAAUGGAUGUUGGACUUUGUCAAAUGCUUUUUCUGCAUCUAUUGAGAUGAUCAUGUGGUUUUUGACCUUUCUUUUGUUUUUUUUUUGUUUGUUUGUUUUUUGUUUUUUUUUGUCUUUUUGUCUUUUGUUGUUGUUGCUAUUUCUUGGGCCGCUCCUGCGGCAUAUGGAGGUUCCCAGGCUAGGGGUUGAAUCGGAGCUGUAGCCACCGGCCCACGCCAGAGCCACAGCAAUGCAGGAUCCGAGCCGCGUCUGCAACCUACACCACAGCUCACGGCAACGCCGGAUCGUUAACCCACUGAGCAAGGGCAGGGACCGAACCCGCAACCUCAUGGUUCCUAGUCGGAUUCAUUAACCACUGCGCCACGACGGGAACUCCUGACCUUUCUUUUGUUAAUGUGGUGUAUGAUUGUAUGAUGUUGAUUGAUUUGCAUAUGUUGAACCAUCCUUGUGAACCUGGGAUGAAUCCCACUUGAUAUGAUGUAUGACUUUUUUAUAUGUUAUUGUAUUCAGUUGGAUAAAAUUGUGUUGAGAAUUUCUGCAUCUAUAUUCAUCAAAGAUAUUAGCCUAUAGUUUUCUUUGUUUGUGGUAUCUUUGUCUGGCUUUGGUAUUAGGGUGAUGGUGGCUUCAUAGAAAAUUUUGGGAGUGUUCCUUCUGCUUCAACCUUUUGGAAAAGUUUAAGGGGGAUUGGUAAAAGUUCUUCUUUGUAUGUUUAGUAGAAUUCACUUGUGAAGCCAUCUGGUCCUGGACUUUUAUUUGUAGGGAGUGUUUUUAUGACAUUCAGUUUCAUUUCCAGUGAUCGGUCUGUUCAGUUGAUCUAUUUCUUCUUGAUUCAGUUUUGGCAGGCUGUAAGUUUCUAAAAAGUAGUCCAUUUCUUCUAGUUGUCAAAUUCGUUGGCAUACAAUUGUUCAUAGUCUUCUCUUAGGGUUUUUUGUGUUUCUGCAGGAUCUGGUGUGAUUUCUCCUUUUUCAUUUCUUAUUUUGUUUAUUUGGGUUUUUUCUCUCCUCUUCUUGGUGGGUCUGGCCAGAGUUUGUCAAUUUUGUUUAUCUUUUCAAAGAACCAGCUCUUGGUUUUAUUGACUUUUUUCUAUUGUUUUUUGAAUCUCUAUUUUAUUGAUUUCCUCUCUGAUCUUUAUGAUUUCUUUCCUUUUGCUGACUUUAGGUUUUGUUUGUUCUUCUUUUUCUAAUUCAUUUAGGUGAUGGGUUAAGUUGUAUAUUUGAGAUUUUUCCUCUUUUUUGAGGAAGGCCUUUAUUGCUGUGAACUUCCCUCUGAGUGCUGCUUUUGUGGCAUCCCACAGAUUUUGAGUGGUGGUUUCUUCAUUAUCAUUUGUCUCAAGGUGUUUUUUAAAUUUCCUUCUUGAUUUCCUCAUUGAGCCACUGGUUUUUUAGCAGCAUGUUGUUUAGUCUCCAUGUAGUCAGUUUUUUCUCAUUUCUUUUCCUGUGAUUUGAUUUCUAGUUUCAUGCCAUUGUGGUUAGAAAAGAUACUUGAAAUAAUUUCUCUACUCUUAAAUUUGUUGAGGUUAGCUUCAUGCCACAGUAUGUGAUCAAUUCUUGAGAAUGUUCCAUGCGCACUUGAGAAGAAUGUAUAUUCUGGUUUUUUUUAAUGUAAUGUCCUGAAAAUGUCAAUUAAGUCUAACUUUUCUAUUGUGUCCUUUAGGAUCUCUGUUGCCUUAUUGAUUUUCUUAUUGAUUUUCUAGAGGAUCUGUCCAUUAAAGUGAAUGGGGUUUUAAAGCCUCCUACUUUGAUUGUACUCCCAUCGAUUUCUCCUUUUAUGUCUGUUAAUAUUUGUUGUAGGUAUCUGGGUGCUCCUAUAUUAGGGGAAUAGAUAUUGAUGAUUGUAAUAUCCUCUUCUUAAAUGGAUCCUUUAACUAUUAAAUAGUGUCCUUCUUUGUCUUUCUUUAUGGCCUUCAUUUUAAAGUCUAUUUUGUCUGAUAUGGGUAUUGUAAUUCCUUCCUUCCUGUCUUGUCCAUUGUUAUGAAAUAUCUUUUCCCAUCCCCUCACUUUCAGUCUAUAUGUGUCCUUUGCCCUAAUGUGAGUCUCUUGUAGACAGCAGAUUGUAGGUUUUUGGGUUUUUAUCCAAUCUGCCACUCUGUGUCUUUUGUUUGGAGCAUUUAGUCCAUUGACAUUUAAGGUAGUUAUUGAUAGAUACAUAUUUAUUUCCAUUUUAAACCUUGUUUUCCAGUUGAUUCUAUGUAUCUCUUUUCUUCCUUUCUUUUUUUGGAUGGAUGAUUUCCAUUUAUUCUAUCCUUGAGUACUUUUCUCUUUAGUUUUCAUGAUUGUAAUAUUUGGUUUUGAUUUUGGUUGCCCUGUUUUUUAAAUAUGUUAAUCCCUUCUUGUAUCUGCCUGCUUUAGCCUGAUAGUCAUAUAGGCUUAAGUACAUUAUUAAAAUAAAAAAAAAGAAUCUAUAUUUUCUUACUUUCUUCCCUCACAUCCUAUGAUUUUGAAGUCUUUUUUUUUUUUUCUUUUUCUUUUUGGUCUUUUAAGGUCACACCCACGGCAUAUGGAAGUUCCCAGGCUAGGGGUCUAAUUGGACCUAUUGCUGCCAGCCUACACCACAGCCACAGCAACACCAGAUCCUUAACCCACUGAGCAAGGCCAGGAGUCAAACCCACAACUUCAUGGUUCCUAGUCACACCACAGUGGGAACUCCUAAAGUCUUUUUUUAACAUGUUUAGAUCUGUUUGCUGGCUUAUUUAAGUGAUUGCUUUCCUGCUGUGGUUUCCUCCAUUCUAUUUCUUCUUACUUUUUUUUUUGUUUAGAGAAGCCCUUUCAUAUUUCUUUUAGAAUGGGUUUAGUAUUGCUGUACUCUUUUAGCUUUUGUUUGUUGGAGAAAUUCUUUAUUUCCCCUUCUAAUUUAAAUGAUAUUCUUGCUGGAUAGUGUAUUCUAGGUUGCAAAUUUUUUUCCUUUCAGCACUUUCAAUACCUUGCCACUCCCUUCUGGCCUGUAGUGUUUCUGUAGAGAAAUCAGCUGAUAUCCUUAUGGGGGUUCCCUUAUAAUUAAUGAUUUGUUUUUCUCUUGCUGCCUUUAGAAUCCUCUCUUUAACUUUUGCCAUUUUUAUUAUAAUAUAUCUUGGCAUGGGCCUGUUUGGAUUCAGCUUGUUUGGGGCCUCUGUGCUUCCUGUAUCUUGAUAUCAGUAUGCUUUAGAUUUGGAAAGUUUUCAGCCAUAAUUUCUUCAAAUAUAUUUUCAAUCUCCUUUUCUUUCUCUUUUCCUUCUGGAAUUCUUAUUAUGUGUAUAUUGUCCCACUUUAUAUUAUCCCAUAGAUCUCUUAUAUUGCUUUCAUGUUUUUUCAUUUGGUUUUCCGUCUGCUGUCCUGAUUGGGUGAUUUCCAUUUUUCUAUCUUCCAAGUCACUAAUUCAUUCCUCUGCAUUAUUCAUUCUGCUCUUUAGUGCCUUUAGCUCAGUUUGUGUCUCAGCAAAUGAAUUUUCUAAUUUUUUAUGUUCCUCCUUAUAUUUUCUAGUUCCUUUCUAAAGGAAUCUGCAUUACUGUUCAUACCUGCUCUUAAUUCCUUCAGUAUUUUUACUACCUCCCUUUUGAACUCAGUGUCUGUCAGACCGCAGAGGUCUGUUUCAUUGUUUACUGCUUCAGGUCAACUCUCCUGUUAACUGGGAAUGGUUCCUGAGCUUCUUCGUCUUGUUUAUGCUUUUCUUUUUGUGUGAGUAUAGGGAAGCCAAACUAUAGUCUUGGAGGGCUGCGUCUAUGCAAGAGUGCCCCUUUGUAUUUUGUGGGGGUUACUAUUUAUUUUUAGCAUGGGAGUUUGAAUAUUUGCCAUCUUUCUUCAGUGUGGACAGGCCAUUAUCCUCAGGGUGCUGAGUGUGUUUCCGGGGAGAAGGAGGCAAUGGGUAGGGCUAGUAGUCAGUGCCUGGUUGCUGGGCUCUUAACAGCAGCAAGGACCUGCAGGAAGGUUGUGCAGGCUACUCCUAGGGCCCUGGGAAGUGGUGAUGAGCCGAAGCAGAUUUACAAGGUGCCCAGAGCAUUUGGCAGUGGCAGCAGCAGGGGUGUGAGUUCCCAGGGGAGUGAGAGCAACAACAACUAGUGUUUGAUUGCAGUGCCCUCCUCUGAGGUGACUGGAGCUUCACCUCAGGGACCCCUAGUGGUAGCGGGCCAUGCCCACCUCUGGAGUAAAUGAUAACUGUGGUGGUUUGCCCUGGCCACCUGAAGACCAUUCAAGAAGUGCCCGUCAUACUCAGCCCACAUAGGAGGUGCUGCACAGGCUGUUGCUAGUUGCAGGCUCCUGGGAAGUGACAGAGAUCAAAUAUGUGGUCACUGCCCAGAGCUUUCAGCAGUGGCAGCAACAGGGCUGGUGUGCUCCCUGGUGUGCUCCCAGGGGUGCGAGAACAACAACUGGUAGUGUUCACUCUCAAUGCCCUCCUCUGUGGUGCCUUUGAGGUGACUGGGGUCACAAAUGGUGCCUGUUCACGGACCCCUUGGUGGUGACGGGCCACACCUACCUCUGGAGUCAGAACUGCGGUGGUUUGCCCCCACCACCUGCAGACCAUGCAAGAAGCACCCAUCCCGCUUAGCCCAUAAAGGAGGUGCUGCACCAGCUGCUCCUAGUUGUAGGGUCUUGGGAAAGGACAGUGAUCAAACAUCUGGGGGCCACCUGGAGUGUUUGGCAGCAGCCGAUGCAAGCCGGGUAUGUUCCCAGGACAGUGAGAGCAAUACCAUAUGGUGCUUGGUUGCAGUGCCUUUUUUUUUACCGACCCCUGAGGUGACUGGGGCCACAGGUGGACCCCACUCAUAGGCCCCCAGUGGUGGUAAGGCCAUGCCUCCCUCUGGCUUCCAAGACGACUACUGCAGGGCAUCCCUGCUGCCUGUAGAUCAUGUGAGAGGCACCACAUCACACUUAGCCCUGUGCUGCCCUUAGCCCACACAAGAGGUUUCCGGCCAGCCUAGCUUGCACAAGAAGCACCUAGUCUCUAGUCUCCUGUAGCCAGAGCAAGUGGCUUCUUGCUACCCGUAGUCCGCGCCAGAGGCGGCCCAACCUCUGAGACCCCAUGCGCGCGCAUGCGUGGGGAGUUUCCUCUGGCGUCCGCCCCUCCUGCUCUCACUCUCCCCAACAACGGGCGCCUUGCUCCUCCUGCGGGCCCAGACCUUCUCCUGGGUUCCCUCCGCGUGGCGUUCCACUCCCCAGCCCAUAGCACACCGCUCCCCUGUCUUUGGUGCACUGCUCCUUAGCCCCUAGCUGUCCCCACACAGCCAGCCCCAGUCCCCUUCCCAGGCCUGACUCCCGGAACCUGAGUCUCAGCACCCAGCCCCCGCCUGAGUGUCUCGGGCUGUGGUGUCUGUGCUGGUGGUUCAGAUCAUCUAUGCAGCUCUCACGCCGCUUUGCUGUUCUUAGUGCAGCUGCUGUGCUUGUCUCUGACUCUGAGGUCCUUUCCACUCGGCUGAUCUUGCAUUGGUCAGGUGGCUUCCCAGGGCGCGGGUUCCUUUUCUCCUUCACAGCUCCAUCUCAGGAGUGCUAGUUCCGUGUCCUGAUUCCUUUUUUCUCUCGCCUUUUCUUUUGUUCUACCCGGUUAUGUCAAGGGUUUCUUGCUUUUUGGAGGUUUAAGUUCUUCUGCCAGCGCUCAGUGGAUGUUCUGUGCAAGUCGUUUUACAUGUAGAUGCGUUUCUUUGAUGUGUUUGUGGGAGAAGGUGAGCUGACCUCUUACUCCUCUGCCAUCUAGACCCACCCCCCCAUUUAUGUAUUUUGAAUAUUAGCCCCUUAUCUGUCAUAUCAUUAGCAAAUAUUUUUUCCCAUUUAGUAGGUCCUCUUUUCAUUUUGUCAGCGGCUUCCUUUGCUUUGCAAAAGCUUUUAAGUUUAAUUAGAUCCCAUUUGUUUAUUUUUGCUUUUAUUUUAUUUGCUUUAGGAGAUGUAUCCAAAAAAUUAUUGCUAUAAUUUAUGUCAAAGAGUGUCCUGUCCAUAUUUUCCUCUAGGAGUUUUAUGGUUUCCAGUCUCAUAUUUCGGUCUUUCAUCAAUUUUGAGUUUAAGAGAGUGAUGUUGAAGAAAUAGGGAGAUUUAUUUUUGUUAUGUUUUGGUUUUUGGCCACACCCAUGGCAUCCUUAGCCGGGGAUCAGAACUUCAUCACAGCAGUGAUCCAAGCCACAGCAGUGACAACGCCAGAUACUUAACCCAUUAGGCCACCAGGGAACUCUGAAAUAGGGAGGUUUAAUCUAGAUAGCUAGCAAGAAAAUAGUGGCCACCUUAGGAAAAGUUAUCAGAAAUAUGGUUUAAGACGAAAAACUAAAACUUGUGAAUUGACCUCUGAGGAACCAAAAUUUAUCUUCAUCCCAGGAAAAAUGUUUUAAAAAUAAUACUGCCCAAAAAUUCAAUGGGUGACCUUUUGAGAAUGUAUUUGAUCAGACUCUGAUGAGGAUUGGAAAGAUACGGUUUAGAGGAAACUGUUACAUGAGGUGGGAAUUUUAAGCUACACAGGCUUAAAAUCUUUUCCAACUCGGCUGUGAUUCUGUCUCCGCAGACACUGGGAAAUACGCUUGUAUUGCCUUCGUAACACGGUCUGUCAUCUCUAUUACCAAUGUUCUUUCUGAAACAUCACCUAUUUAAUAAUUCAAUAAAAGCCUAAAUUUUUCACAGGCUAGAAUUGGAGGUAUAUUUAUCCAUAAAGGUCACAGGAAUUAUUAUAAUCCUCAAUUAUAACUUGUCCAAAAGAAAAACACAACCUCCAAUUCUAAUUUGAAAUCAGAACACCUUGUAUUGCUCUUAGACUUAUCAUAUGAUACAACUUCUCACCUUGGGGGAAAGCAGCUUUUCAAAGACCUUUAACCAUCUUGUGGCCAAAUGAGGCAGCCCCUGCCGAGGCUGAGAUCACCUCUGAGGUUUUCCCAUCUCCUGGUGCCGUUCAGAGAUCCCCCAGCCCCGGGAGAUUGCUGCUUCCCCCAGUACAGUGUCAACCCCACCUCACUUCAUGCCCCACUCACCAUGGUGUGACUGUACAGUGUGGUUUCUUGCAAUAAGUGUUUAAACAUUUGCUAUCCUUUUUGGACAAAACUGCAGUGAAUUGAAGUAUAACCAGUGUAUAGACACCUGGUGCAGCUAAGUUGUGGGACAGCUAUCAUCCUGUCCCCGCAGUGCAGAGCCUGGACACAAGUCCCUGCUGGGAAAACACUGUGACACUCAGCAUCCCACUGCUGGAGCGAGAGAGAAGCCAGGCUACCUAAGCCAGGGUGCUCAUCAGUGAGUCCACCUACAGUGCUCUUUGAAGAGCAGGAUGAAACACCGACGUAUUAAAUUUCAUCGUAAAAAAACCAAAGAAUAUUUGACUGGCAGGAAAUGUAUUUCCCAUAUAAAAUAAUGUGCAUGAACUUACACACACACACACACACGCACGCACACGCGGUCAUAUAAACUCUACCAGCUAUGUCAAAAUUGUUUUUGUCUGUUAUUUGUUCAUACGUUGUCCUAAGCUAGAGCUCUUUAGAGGGCGACAUAUGAGGACUUCUCUUGUGGUGCAGCAGGUUAAGGAUUCAGUGUUGCCACUGCUGCAGCUUGGAUCACUGCUGCGGAAUGGGUUCAGUCCCUGGCCCGGGGAACUUCUGCAUGCUGUGGGCACAGCAAAAAAAAAAA